rnacentral:rRNA from 1 species
GAUGAACGCUGGCGGCGUGCUUAACACAUGCAAGUCGAACGGGAAACCUUUUGUUGAAGCUUCGGCAGAGUUAGCUGGUUUAUAGUGGCGGACGGGUGAGUAACGCGUGGGUAACCUACCUUAUACAGGGGGAUAACAACCAGAAACGGUGGCUAAUACCGCAUAAGCGCACAGGACCGCAUGAUCCGGUGGGCAAAAAUUCGGUGGUGUAAGAAGGACCCGCGUCGGAUUAGCUAGUUGGAAGGGUAAAGGCCUACCAAGGCGACGAUCAGUAGCCGGUCUGAGAGGGUGAACGGCCACAUUGGGACUGAGACACGGCCCAGACUCCUACGGGAGGCAGCAGUGGGGAAUAUUGCACAAUGGGGGGAACCCUGAUGCAGCGACGCCGCGUGAAGGAAGAAGUAUUUCGAAAUGUAAAGCUCUGUCAGAAGGGAAGAUAAUGACGGUACCUGACUAAGAAGCCCCGGCUAACUACGUG